UUUUGAUGCACAACUCCACACUUCAAUGUCCAGCAGACUACAACAUAGGUAUCAAAUAUCAAUGAACUGUAAAGAUGCAUUUGAAGCUGUACUAAGUCAAGCUUCAUGAGAUUGUGAGAGUAAGUUGAACACAGGGAAGAAAGAGGUAUAACUAUACCAUUAUAAGAAAACAAUCGUUAUUCGGGGGCAACGUUAAACUGAACUUUCUGAAGUAACUUAUAAAUUUGAUGGAACGUUG
rnacentral:misc_RNA from 1 species